rnacentral:rRNA from 2 species
UUAAUUGAAGAGUUUGAUCAUGGCUCAGAUUGAACGCUGGCGGCAGGCCUAACACAUGCAAGUCGAGCGGCAGCACAGAGGAACUUGUUCCUUGGGUGGCGAGCGGCGGACGGGUGAGUAAUGCCUGGGAAAUUGCCCGGUAGAGGGGGAUAACCAUUGGAAACGAUGGCUAAUACCGCAUAACCUCG